rnacentral:rRNA from 1 species
UACGUAGGGGGCAAGCGUUGUCCGGAAUCAUUGGGCGUAAAGAGCGUGUAGGCGGUCCGGUCAGUCGGUUGUGAAAGUCAAGGGCUCAACCCUGGGAUGCCGGUGGAUACUGUCGAGCUCGAGUCCGGAAGAGGCGAGUGGAAUUCCUGGUGUAGCGGUGAAAUGCGCAGAUAUCAGGAGGAACACCAAUGGCGAAGGCAGCUCGCUGGGACGUGACUGACGCUGAGACGCGAAAGCGUGGGGAGCAAACAGG